rnacentral:rRNA from 1 species
GGCUCGGGCGAGGCUUUGGGUCACCUCCCACCCGUGUUUAUUUUACCUUGUUGCUUCGGCGGGCCCGCCUUUACUGGCCGCCGGGGGGCUCACGCCCCCGGGCCCGCGCCCGCCGAAGACACCCCCGAACUCUGUCUGAAGAUUGAAGUCUGAGUGAAAAUAUAAAUUAUUUAAAACUUUCAACAACGGAUCUCUUGGUUCCGGCAUCGAUGAAGAACGCAGCGAAAUGCGAUACGUAAUGUGAAUUGCAAAUUCAGUGAAUCAUCGAGUCUUUGAACGCACAUUGCGCCCCCUGGUAUUCCGGGGGGCAUGCCUGUCCGAGCGUCAUUGCUGCCCUCAAGCCCGGCUUGUGUGUUGGGCCCCGUCCUCCGAUUCCGGGGGACGGGCCCGAAAGGCAGCGGCGGCACCGCGUCCGGUCCUCGAGCGUAUGGGGCUUUGUCACCCGCUCUGUAGGCCCGGCCGGCGCUUGCCGAUCAACCCAAAUUUUUAUCCAGGUUGACCUCGGAUCAGGUAGGGAUACCCGCUGAACUUAAGCAUAUCAAUAAGGCGAGAGGAA